rnacentral:rRNA from 1 species
AUGGAGAUCAAGCCAGCGGUGAUCCUUGUGGCCUGUUUGUUAUUCGGCAUCAGCAACAGAGGCAGUGCAGCAGGGUGCAGAACGUCAGAUAUUUUUGUCACCACAGAGGCCUACCCGGAUCCGGGAGGAAGGCUAGUGCAGUACGUGACACUGGUGAACAACUGCGCCAGGUGCACGCAGAAGAACGUAAAGCUGGCGUGCCCGGGGUUCAGCUCUUCCAUCGAGGUCUACCCGGACACUGCCAUCAAGCCGGAUGGCGACGGCAAGCUCUGCACCCUCUACGCCGGCCGCCCGGUUGGGCCUAAAGAGAAUGUCUUCUUCAACUACGUGCCCGUCUCCUCCACCAUUGUUUGUUAG